rnacentral:rRNA from 1 species
AGUGAACGCUGGCGGUAGGCCUAACACGUGCAAGUCGAACGGCAGCACAGCAAGAGCUUGCUCUUACGGGUGGCGAGUGGCGGACGGGUGAGGAAUACAUCGGAAUCUACUUUUUCGUGGGGGAUAACGUAGGGAAACUUACGCUAAUACCGCAUACGACCUACGGGUGAAAGCAGGGGAUCUUCGGACCUUGCGCGAUUGAAUGAGCCGAUGUCGGAUUAGCUAGUUGGCGGGGUAAAGGCCCACCAAGGCGACGAUCCGUAGCUGGUCUGAGAGGAUGAUCAGCCACACUGGAACUGAGACACGGUCCAGACUCCUACGGGAGGCAGCAGUGGGGAAUAUUGGACAAUGGGCGCAAGCCUGAUCCAGCCAUACCGCGUGGGUGAAGAAGGCCUUCGGGUUGUAAAGCCCUUUUGUUGGGAAAGAAAAGCAGCAGGUUAAUACCCCGCUGUUCUGACGGUACCCAAAGAAUAAGCACCGGCUAACUUCGUG